GACGAACGCUGGCGGCGUGCUUAACACAUGCAAGUCGAACGGUGAAGCGCCUUCCUUUUUGGUGGGUGUGGAUGAGUGGCGAACGGGUGAGUAACACGUGAGUAACCUGCCCCCUUCUUCUGGAUAACCGCAUGAAAGUGUGGCUAAUACGGGAUAUUCUGGGUCUGUCGCAUGAUGGGUCUGGGAAAGAUAUUGUUUCGGUGGGGGAUGGGCUCGCGGCCUAUCAGCUUGUUGGUGGGGUGAUGGCCUACCACGGCGGUGACGGGUAGCCGGCCUGAGAGGGUGGACGGUCACACUGGGACUGAGACACGGCCCAGACUCCUACGGGAGGCAGCAGUGGGGAAUAUUGCACAAUGGGCGCAAGCCUGAUGCAGCGACGCCGCGUGAGGGAUGGAGGCCUUCGGGUUGUGAACCUCUUUCGCCAGUGAAGCAGGCCUGCCUCGUUUGUGGGUGGGUUGACGGUAGCUGGAUAAGAAGCGCCGGCUAACUACGUG
rnacentral:rRNA from 1 species